UGCCAGCAGUCGCGGUUACACCAAGAAAUUAAGUCAUAUUUAGAUGGUAAAAAGACAGUUAGACAUUAGAUAUUUAAAGCUUUUUGACCUUUUAUAUAGAAGUAAAAUUUAUGUAUAAAUGCGUAAUUUAACAAUAGCUAUAAAGUUGAAUCUGUGACAGCCUGGAGGGAAACUGGGAUUAGAUACCCCAUUAUUCCUGGUUAUAAAUAAAUAAAAUUUACCAGAGUACUAUGAAUACUAUAAAAUUUAAAACUCAAAGGACUUGGCGGUGUUUUAGACCAUUUAGGGGAACCUGUCUUAUAAUCGAUAAUCCACGUUACACCUAACCUUUCUUUGCUUUCAGUUUGUAUAUCGUUGUCGUCAGGUAACUUUUUAGAAAUUAGAAGUUAGCUAAAAAUAGUAAAUUUAAACGUCAAAUCAAGGUGCAGCUAAUAGAGAGGUAAAGAUGGGUUACAAUUAUUUUAAUUAUAAUAACGGAAAAUCAUGUGAACUUAAUGAUAAAGAAGGAGGACUUAAAAGUAAAUUAGAUUAUAUAAAUAACUUGAAUAAGGCUCUGAAAUGUGCACACAUCGCCCGCCACUCU
rnacentral:rRNA from 1 species